rnacentral:piRNA from 1 species
UUGGAUCACUUUAGAUAACAUCUAAGAAGGC